rnacentral:tRNA from 3 species
GCGGGUGUAGCAUAGUGGUAAUGCUUCGGCCUUCCAAGCCGACUAUGUGGGUUCGAUUCCCAUCACCCGCUCCA